rnacentral:rRNA from 1 species
AUGGUUUAUGGAAAAACAUGUCACUUACCUCUCGAACUAGAACACAAGGCAUAUUGGGCCAUUAAAGAACUCAAUUAUGAUUUUAAACUUGCCGGUGAGAAGAGGCAAUUUGAUAUUAGCUCACUUGAUGAAUGGAGAACCCAAGCCUAUGAAAAUGCCAAGUUGUUUAAAGAAAAAGUUAAAAGAUGGCAUGACAAAAGGAUACAAAAGCGUGAGUUUAAUGUAGGUGAUUAUGUAUUGCUAUACAACUCGCAUUUAAGAUUUUUUGCAGGAAAACUUCUCUCUAAAUGGGAAGGCCCUUACGUUAAUGAAGAGGUCUACCGUUCCGGUGCCAUAAAAAUCAACAACUUCGAAGGCACAAAUCCGAAGGUGGUGAACGGUCAAAGAAUCAAACAUUAUAUCUCAGGUAAUCCCAUAAAUGUUGAAACCAAUGUUAUUGAAACCGUAACCCCGGAGGAAUACAUAAGGGACACUUUCCGGAACGUUUCAGACUCCGAAAAGGAAUAG